AGAGUUUGAUCAUGGCUCAGGACGAACGCUUGCGGCGUGCCUAAGAAAUGCAAGUCGAGCGAGGUUUAGGCUUCGGCCAAAAACCUAGCGGCGAACGGUCGCGUAACACGUAAGCAACCUGCCCUGAAGUGGGGGAUAGCCCUCCGAAAGGAGGAUUAAUACCGCAUGUGGACACCGGAUCGCAUGUUCUGGUGUCUGAAGCAGCAAUGCGCUUCAGGAUGGGCUUGCGGCCUAUCAGCUAGUUGGUGGGGUAACGGCCUACCAAGGCGACGACGGGUAGCUGGUCUGAGAGGAUGGUCAGCCGGACUGGGACUGAGAUACGGCCCAGACUCCUACGGGGGGCAGCAAUUAGGAAUCUUGCGCAAUGGGCGAAAGCCUGAUGCAGCGACGCCGCGUGACUGAUGAAGUCCUUCGGGAUGUAAAGGUCUUUUGCAGGGGAAGAAGGAUGUGACGGUACCCUGCGAAUAAGCCCCGGCUAACUACGUGCCAGCAGCCGCGGUAAUACGUAGGGGGCGAGCGUUGUCCGAAUUUACUGGGCGUAAAGCGCGCGUAGGCGGGUUCUUAAGUUGGAGGUGAAAUGCCGAGGCUCAACCUCGGAACUGCCUCCAAAACUGGGAGCCUUGAGGUAUGGAGAGGGAAGUGGAAUUCCUGGUGUAGCGGUGAAAUGCGUAGAUAUCAGGAGGAACACCUGUGGCGAAGGCGGCUUCCUGGCCAUAUCCUGACGCUGAGGUGCGAAAGCUAGGGGAGCGAACGGGAUUAGAUACCCCGGUAGUCCUAGCCGUAAACGAUGGAUACUAGGUGUUAGAGGUAUCGACCCCUCUAGUGCCGCAGCUAACGCAUUAAGUAUCCCGCCUGGGGAGUACGGCCGCAAGGCUGAAACUCAAAGGAAUUGACGG
rnacentral:rRNA from 1 species